AUGACGACCCGGCGGGUGAGGCGGCGCACGUGCAGGGACAAGGGGAAGGGGAAGGAGGUUGUGGAGGAGGGGCGGGCGGUGGAGGCCGGCUCAUCGCCGCCGCGGGACUGGGUGCCGGCGGGGGAUGGGGAUGGGGGCGGCGAGGCGGUGGCCGGCGAGGCCGUGGACUGGACGCUGCUUCCGGAUGACACCGUGCUGCAGCUGUUUGGCCGGCUGAGCUACCGCGACCGCGCCAGCUUGGUGGCGACCUGCCAGACCUGGAGGGGGCUCGGGUCGUCGCCGUGCCUGUGGAGCACGCUCGACCUCCGCGCGCACCGUUGCGACGCUGAGGUCGCCUCGUCGCUGGCCUCGCGGUGCGGGGGCCUGCAGCGGCUGCGGCUGCGGGGUCAUGAGGCGGCUGUGGCGGUGGCCUCCGCCCUCGGCGCCCGCGACCUCCGAGAGGUGGUGGCCGAAGGCUGCAGGGGACUCACUGACGCCACUCUUGCAGUCCUGGCCGCUCGACACGAGGCGCUGGAGAGUCUCCAGAUCGGUCCAGACCCCCUUGAGCGCAUCUCCAGCGACGCCCUCCGCCAUGUCGCUCUUUGCUGCUCCCGCCUCCGUCGCCUCCACCUCUCGGGUCUCCGUGAAGCUGACUCUGAUGCCAUAGGAGCGCUGGCGCGCUACUGCCCCCUCCUUGAGGACGUUGCCUUGCUCGACUGCGGCACUGUAGAUGAGGCUGCCCUUGGUGACAUCCACUCCCUCCGAUUCCUCUCCAUAGCAGGAUGCUACAACGUGAAAUGGGCUACAGCAUCCGCCUCAUGGGCCCAGCUUCCCUUGCUAGUCGCCGUCGACGUCUCCCGCACUGAUGUCUCUCCAAAUGCUGUCGCUCGUCUAAUCUCCCACUCCAAAACCCUCGAGCUUAUAUGUGCUCUUAACUGCAAAUUUGUCGAAGAGGAACAAGCACACAGUCCCACUGCAUUUAGCAACUCCAAGGGCAAGCUUGUGCUUACCAUUACAUGCCCCAUUUUUAAAUCACUCGCUUCACUGUUUCCUGCCGAGGCUGUGGAGGAGCACGGCGUGUUCAAUGAGUGUAAUUGGAGGAACAAAAGGAAAAUACUUGGUGUCAUGAUGAACUGGCUCGAGUGGAUCCUAUCACAGUCGCUUCUUCGGAUUGCGGAGUGCAAUCCAUAUGGCAUGGAUGACUUCUGGUUGCAGCAGGGCACAUCAAUGCUGCUGAGCCUGGUGAAGAGCUCACAGGAGGAUGUGCAGGAGCGUGCAGCUACAACAAUUGCUACAUUUGUGGUUAUUGACGAUGAAACUGCGAAUGUGGAUGCUGCAAGGUCGGAGGCGGUAAUGCGGGAUGGAGGCAUUCCGCUUCUGCUGGACCUUGCAAGGUGCUCAAGGGUGAGUGCUCAGUCUGAAGCAGCAAAGGCUAUUGCCAACCUAUCGGUGAAUGCGAAGGUUGCAAAGGUGGUUGCAGAUGAAGGAGGUAUCGCCAUUUUCACUAAUUUGGCUAAGUCGACGAAUCGACUUGUUGCUGAAGAAGCUGCUGGUGGCCUUUGGAACCUCUCCGUGGGUGAGGAGCACAAGGCGGCUAUUGCGGCAGCUGGUGGUAUAAAGGCUUUGGUUGAUCUUAUAUUUCGUUGGCCUGCUGGGACUGAUGGAGUUCUUGAACGUGCUGCUGGUGCGCUUGCAAACCUAGCUGCUGAUGACAAGUGCAGCUUGGAAGUUGCAAAGGCUGGUGGUGUCCAUGCUUUGGUUACACUUGCUCGAUCAUGUAAACUUGAGGGCGUCCUAGAACAGGCGGCAAGGGCUCUAGCCAACUUAGCUGCACAUGGAGAUAACAACAACAAUAAUGCAGCUGUAGGUCAGGAAGCAGGGGCUCUUGAGGCAUUAGUGCAACUAACAUGUUCUCAAAACGAGGGUGUAAGGCAAGAGGCUGCUGGUGCUUUGUGGAACCUAUCAUUUGAUGACAGGAAUCGUGAAGCUAUUGCUGCUGCGGGGGGUGUUGAAGCAUUGGUUUCACUUGCACAACAAUGUCUGAAUGCUUCGGAAGGCCUUCAGGAGAGAGCUGCUGGCGCAUUAUGGGGACUAUCUGUCUCAGAAUCGAACAGCAUCGCAAUUGGACAGGAGGGUGGCGUUGCACCAUUGCUCACAAUGGCACAGUCAGAGGUUGAAGAUGUUCAUGAGACAGCUGCAGGGGCAUUGUGGAAUCUUGCUUUCUAUUCCAGCAAUGCUCACCGUAUAGUUGAAGAAGGUGGGGUGCCUAUACUUGUGCACCUUUGCUCAUCAUCAGGGUCAAAGAUGGCUCGGUUCAUGUCUGCGCUAGCCCUUGCCUAUAUGUUUGAUGGAAGAAUGGAUGAGGCCGCCAUUGUUGGGACAUCAUCUGAGGGCAGUUCCAAAGGUGUUAACGUCGAGGGAGCUAGAAGAAUGGCUUUGAAGCAUAUAGAGAUCUUUGUGUUGACGUUUUCAGAUCCACAGGUGUUCUCUAUGGCUGCAGCUUCCUCAGCACCAGCAGCGCUAUCUCAGGUUGCCGAAGCAGUGUUCAUACAAGAAGCUGGACACCUGAGAUGCAGUGGUGCUGAGAUAGGUAGAUUUAUUGCCAUGCUUCGGAAUCCUACGCCAGUUCUUCGUGCGUGUGCUGCAUUUGCCCUUCUUCAGUUCUCAAUCCCGGGAGGUCGACAUGCAACACACCAUGCGGACCUUCUGCAAAAUGUUGGAGCGGCUCGGGUCUUGCGUGCAGCGGCGGCAGCAACAUCAGCUUCCAUUGAGGCCAAAGUGUUCGCCAGAAUUGUCCUUAGGAAUCUGGAACACCAUCAGGCAGGGACUUCAACCUGA
rnacentral:rRNA from 1 species